UUGAACGCUGGCGGCAUGCCUUACACAUGCAAGUCGAACGGCAGCACGGGUGCUUGCACCUGGUGGCGAGUGGCGAACGGGUGAGUAAUACAUCGGAACAUGUCCUGUAGUGGGGGAUAGCCCGGCGAAAGCCGGAUUAAUACCGCAUACGAUCCACGGAUGAAAGCGGGGGACCUUCGGGCCUCGCGCUAUAGGGUUGGCCGAUGGCUGAUUAGCUAGUUGGUGGGGUAAAGGCCUACCAAGGCGACGAUCAGUAGCUGGUCUGCGAGGACGACCAGCCACACUGGGACUGAGACACGGCCCAGACUCCGACGGGAGGCAGCAGUGGGGAAUUUUGGACAAUGGGCGAAAGCCUGAUCCAGCAAUGCCGCGUGUGUGAAGAAGGCCUUCGGGUUGUAAAGCACUUUUGUCCGGAAAGAAAUCCUUGACUCUAAUACAGUCGGGGGAUGACGGUACCGGAAGAAUAAGCACCGGCUAACUACGUG
rnacentral:rRNA from 1 species